AGCCUCUAUGGUGAAAUCGGUAGACACGUUGCUCUUAGGAAGCAGUGCUAGAGCAUCUCGGUUCGAGUCCGAGUGGCGGCAUGCCAUCUUCU
rnacentral:tRNA from 1 species